rnacentral:misc_RNA from 1 species
GGAAAAUAAAGCACAUACUGCAACAAAUGAUAAGGGACUUCCAUUUAAAGUGAUAGAAAAUUCACUCAGAAAAUUGAAGGCAUGAUUUGAAAAUCAUGUCUGUUGGUGCAAUUAACUUUGUCGUUAACAAGGAAUUGACUAUUGAGUCCUGUAAAUACGUAUUCAUUAGUGCUAUUCUGUAAAACAUCAUGUUAUUGAAAUUUCU